rnacentral:rRNA from 1 species
AUUGAACGCUGGCGGCAGGCCUAACACAUGCAAGUCGAACGGUAACAGGAAGCAGCUUGCUGCUUCGCUGACGAGUGGCGGACGGGUGAGUAAUGUCUGGGAAGCUGCCUGAUGGAGGGGGAUAACUACUGGAAACGGUAGCUAAUACCGCAUAAUGUCGCAAGACCAAAGAGGGGGACCUUCGGGCCUCUUGCCAUCAGAUGUGCCCAGAUGGGAUUAGCUUGUUGGUGGGGUAACGGCUCACCAAGGCGACGAUCCCUAGCUGGUCUGAGAGGAUGACCAGCCACACUGGAACUGAGACACGGUCCAGACUCCUACGGGAGGCAGCAGUGGGGAAUAUUGCACAAUGGGCGAAAGCCUGAUGCAGCCAUGCCGCGUGUAUGAAGAAGGCCUUCGGGUUGUAAAGUACUUUCAGCGGGGAGGAAGGGAGUAAAGUUAAUACCUUUGCUCAUUGACGUUACCCGCAGAAGAAGCACCGGCUAACUCCGUG